GCGUUCGUGACCGAGUGGUUUUAAGGUGCUCGCCUGCUAUUGAUGAGAGCAGUGAGUGAGUGUGCUCUGCACGCCCAGGUUCGAAUCCUGGCGAACGCG
rnacentral:tRNA from 1 species